GCCGGCGUGGCUCAAUGGCAGAGCAUCGCUUUCCUAAUCUGGAAUAUACUCCAGGCGAAGGUUGUGGGUUCGAGUCCCACUGUCGGUU